UGCUUUGGCGGCUCCGGCCGCCAAAGGACCUCCAAACUCCAGUCAGUAAACGCAGACGUCUGAUAAACAAGUUAAUAAACUAAAACUUUCAACAACGGAUCUCUUGGUUCUGGCAUCGAUGAAGAACGCAGCGAAAUGCGAUAAGUAAUGUGAAUUGCAGAAUUCAGUGAAUCAUCGAAUCUUUGAACGCACAUUGCGCCCCUUGGUAUUCCGGGGGGCAUGCCUGUUCGAGCGUCAUUACAACCCUCAAGCUCUGCUUGGAAUUGGGCACCGUCCUCACUGCGGACGCGCCUCAAAGACCUCGGCGGUGGCUGUUCAGCCCUCAAGCGUAGUAGAAUACACCUCGCUUUGGAGUGGUUGGCGUCGCCCGCCGGACGAACCUUCUGAACUUUUCUCAAGGUUGACCUCGGAUCAGGUAGGGAUACCCGCUGAACUUAAGCAUAUCAAUAAGCGGAGGAAAAGAAACCAACAGGGAUUGCCUUAGUAACGGCGAGUGAAGCGGCAACAGCUCAAAUUUGAAAGCUGGCCCUUUUAGGGUCCGCGUUGUAAUUUGUAGAGGAUGAUUCGGCGAGGGCUCCUGCCUAAGUCCCCUGGAACGGGGCGUCAUAGAGGGUGAGAAUCCCGUAUGCGGUAGGUUGCCUUAGCCAUGUGAAUCUCCUUCGACGAGUCGAGUUGUUUGGGAAUGCAGCUCUAAAUGGGAGGUAAAUUUCUUCUAAAGCUAAAUACUGGCCAGAGACCGAUAGCGCACAAGUAGAGUGAUCGAAAGAUGAAAAGCACUUUGGAAAGAGAGUUAAAAAGUACGUGAAAUUGUUGAAAGGGAAGCGCUUGCAACCAGACUUGUCCGCAGUUGCUCAGCCGGUCUCCUGACCGGCGUACUCUUCUGCGGCCAGGCCAGCAUCAGUUCGGGCGGUCGGAUAAAGGCCUCGGGAAU
rnacentral:rRNA from 1 species